GCAGAUGUAGCAUUUUUUUGAUGUAGCUGUUUUUAUGUGGAAGGCUUGUUUGGGGGGCAACAGAUAAAAUUUGAUUACGUUGACAGCUAGACGAACUGGAAAUUUUUUGACAUUAUCAUCCAAAUCGAACCACUGCAGUGCAUAACGUCUACAUUGUGUGUUUAUUCAGAGGAAGAAAAAAUAUUAUAUUGUUUGCAAAACACAAUUAAGAUUUAUUGCCAUGAUAAAGGGGUCCAUUUUGUGUCUGGAUAUGGUUGAUGAAAGUCUAGACGUGCUCAUAUAGCUAUAAUUGUAUGGAGUCAAUGAGCCCAGCUCUAGUGAAUUUAUAUGUAUUAAUCAAAUGCUAAUUUGCUGCAUGUUAAAGCUUUGUGUUCAUCAAUCAAGCCUGUUGACACAUAUCAAAUCUCAUUAUAUUGUUGUACAACACUCCGAUCUGUAUAUAGACUCCAGCACAAACAACCAAUAGACACUGAAAUGGUAGAAAAUAACCCUCCUAGCUCUUACCACCCCCCAGAAACAAUGAGCGGACAUUAGGCAGAUGUGGUUAUCAUUCAUUUGGAGGAUUAUUGAUUUGGGGGGAUUUUCAUUAACUUGGUAAUCAACUCACCUGUGUGUAGAAAGUAUAGGUAAUUGUAGUGUGUAUGUUUAUGUCAUAGAUGAAAAUUCCGAGGAUGGACGAUUUCACUUUUAUCUAUAAGUGUUUUGCAUAAAUCAUUCCAACGGAAAAAUAAAAAUGUAGUUAGAUA